CCUACGGGUGGCAGCAGUGAGGAAUAUUGGUCAAUGGGCGAGAGCCUGAACCAGCCAAGUCGCGUGAAGGAUGAAGGAUCUAUGGUUUGUAAACUUCUUUUAUAUGGGAAUAAAGUGAGGAACGUGUUCCUUUUUGUAUGUACCAUAUGAAUAAGCAUCGGCUCACUCCGUGCCAGCAGCCGCGGUAAUACGGAGGAUGCGAGCGUUAUCCGGAUUUAUUGGGUUUAAAGGGUGCGUAGGUGGUUAAUUAAGUCAGCGGUGAAAGUUUGUGGCUCAACCAUAAAAUUGCCGUUGAAACUGGUUUUCUUGAGUGAGUGAGAAGUAUGCGGAAUGCGUGGUGUAGCGGUGAAAUGCAUAGAUAUCACGCAGAACUCCGAUUGCGAAGGCAGCAUACCGGCGCUCAACUGACGCUCAUGCACGAAAGUGUGGGUAUCGAACAGGAUUAGAUACCCCUGUAGUC
rnacentral:rRNA from 1 species